rnacentral:rRNA from 1 species
UACGAAGGGGGCUAGCGUUGUUCGGAAUUACUGGGCGUAAAGCGCACGUAGGCGGACUACUAAGUCAGGGGUGAAAUCCCGGGGCUCAACCCCGGAACUGCCUUUGAUACUGAUAGUCUCGAGUCCGGAAGAGGUGAGUGGAAUUCCGAGUGUAGAGGUGAAAUUCGUAGAUAUUCGGAGGAACACCAGUGGCGAAGGCGGCUCACUGGUCCGGUACUGACGCUGAGACGCGAAAGCGUGGGGAGCAAACAGG